rnacentral:rRNA from 1 species
UACCUAGGAAUCUGCCCGAUAGUGGGGGAUAACGUUCGGAAACGAAUGCUAAUACCGCGUACGUCCUACGGGAGAAAGCAGGGGACCUUCGGGCCUUGCGCUAUCGGAUGAGCCUAGGUCGGAUUAGCUAGUUGGUGAGGUAAUAGCUCACCAAGGCCACGAUCCGUAGCUGGUCUGAGAGGAUGAUCAGUCACACUGGAACUGAGACACGGUCCAGACUCCUACGGGAGGCAGCAGUGGGGAAUAUUGGACAAUGGGCGAAAGCCUGAUCCAGCCAUGCCGCGUGUGUGAAGAAGGUCU